UGGAGAGAAUUCAAUAAUCCUUUACCCCUUUCCCCGGGGGCAUGUGGCUGUCGCCCAGUGUCCCGGUGAGUCCUUCAGCCCCUCGUUCUGGACACAGGUGAUGAAACCUCUGGCCAUCCCCUCAGUGCUGCGAGGCCUGGCAGGGCUUCCAGUAGCACUGCAGCUGAGCUGCGAUGCCACUUAUACUCAGCUUAUUGGGAAUGAAGAUGUUGCAAUUAUUUGAUGACCUGGCUAAGGAGCAUUCACAGAAGAGACUUAGAAGAAGGAGCCAGCCUUCAUACACAGUGCCUCCACAAUCAUGUCUGAUGACUGGAAACAACCCACGGAAGAGUAUGUAUCAUCUUUUCACUGUGUCUGUCGGGAGGUGCUUUAUUUGGGGAAAAAACAGAAAACAGACUCAACUAAAAUUAAUAGAGAGUCAUAACAUACAUUGUCAACCUGAAUAUGGGCAAUAGAAAAAUAUGUAGUAAAACAAUGAGCUCUUUUGUAGCAAAAGAGGGUU